ensembl:lncRNA
GGUCCUUGGCUAAAUCAUAUUAGCUUGCAAACGCAUCCCCCGUCCACAGCACAACUAUGCAUUAUCCCACUGUAGACGUGACACGUCCUUGGCCCCCUGGCUUCAUUUUCAUCUCCGUGUCACAUUCCAAACCUGUCUCCCAGAAGUGCUGCCGCCGCCCGACUUUGAUGCCGCGGCCUCCGAGGAGCAGGGCCCGGCUCCCGGCCCGCGUCCGUCUCCAGCCUUAGGAGGGAAAAGCCCCGAGGACGAGCAAUCCAAGCUCGCUAACGAGAUCGUCACCUCCACCGAUGACCUCUUGAAGAGCGACGCCGCCGCCGCCGCCGCCGCGGCUCAGCCGACACUCGACAAUGUGGUGACGGACGUCCUGGCGCCUGGCGCGCGGCCAGAGAGGAACGAAGCAGGUUGGACCAACGAGCUGGUGGAAGGCGCCGCCGGAGCCGCAGAGCCGGCUGAGCCGGGCCUGGAGGCCUGGAAGAUCGGGGCCAUCGCUGCCGCCGUCUUCCUCCUCGUGGAGACCUUCAUCAUCCUCGUCUACAUCGUCAAGCGCCGCAGCAGGAGCAGGUGGGUGCAGCACAUCAGCAGCGGUAUAUUUAAAGCACAGUCAGAAUAUGAUUCGUUUAGCACAACUUAUACCCAAUAUUAUUUCCAGUAGGCUGACCUACAUUAUCCACAUAACAGCCUGAUACAGAAAUAGAUUUACAUUAAACCCUAAUCUCCUCGUAUUGUAGAACAGAUUCCUGGCUCUGUAUUUGCACAACAGAUUCUUCCCUCUUUUUUUAUGAAUGAAGACAAACCACAUCCAACGGAGCCUCAUUUAUUAGCUGGAACAAGCCAAUCUGAUUGCUGUAAUUUGUGCAGCACUACAACAUAUUGGACUCUCAUCUGUGUCGAUACGUGAUUACUUGUGAUGUGGCCCACACUGCAGCUAACAGUUGUAUAUCGCUGAAUAGUGAAAUGAAAGUGUUGGUUCUGAGUUUUCAGUAAUAGAUUUCUGUUUUUCCAUCUUCCGCCGUGGCCUGAUACAACAAGCAGUUGAUUUGUAGAAGGGGAAGACACAAGCGGCAUCGGUUCUAAGUGUGUGUGUGUGUGUGUGUGUGCGUGCGCGCGCGUGCGUGUGUGCGUGCGUGCGUGUGCGUGCGUGCGUGCGUGUGUGUGUGUGUGCGUGUGUGCGUGCGUGCGUGUGUGUGUGCGUGCGUGUGCGUGCGUGCAGCGCUCCAGCUCGUCAGCGGGCCAGUGAAGACGGACGUGUUGAACCAGAGGAAGCAACCGGAGGCGACUGCAGCGACGACACGCUGCCUGCAGACAGCGAGCAGUGAGUCCACGGUUGACAACGCCGCGAUAUUUGGCAGACGUGCAGAAAAACAUACGCCGAGUAUGAAAGCGUGCAGAGAGCGUGUACAGUGUGCUGCACAGACGGGCUGCCAGUUCAUGGACAUUGGUUUUAGAUAUUAUUAAUACUCAAAAACAGGCAGUGACACCCAUCUACAAACAUACUGUACCAGCAUGUACUACAGCACAAGACAAAGAGCUCCCAUUCGUCCUCACCAGGCGUUAACACAGAUUAAACAUGAUGGAUACAAAGAUCUUCCUAAUAAAGCUCUGUUGUGUUUAUCA